UAGGGAAUCUUCGGCAAUGGGGGCAACCCUGACCGAGCAACGCCGCGUGAGUGAAGAAGGUUUUCGGAUCGUAAAGCUCUGUUGUACGUCAAGAACGGGUGUGAGAGUGGAAAGUUCACACUGUGACGGUAGCUUACCAGAAAGGGACGGCUAACUACGUGCCAGCAGCCGCGGUAAUACGUAGGUCCCGAGCGUUGUCCGGAUUUAUUGGGCGUAAAGCGAGCGCAGGCGGUUUGAUAAGUCUGAAGUUAAAGGCUGUGGCUCAACCAUAGUUCGCUUUGGAAACUGUCAAACUUGAGUGCAGAAGGGGAGAGUGGAAUUCCAUGUGUAGCGGUGAAAUGCGUAGAUAUAUGGAGGAACACCGGUGGCGAAAGCGGCUCUCUGGUCUGUAACUGACGCUGAGGCUCGAAAGCGUGGGGAGCGAACAGGAUUAGAUACCCUGGUAGUCCACGCCGUAAACGAUGAGUGCUAGGUGUUGGAUCCUUUCCGGGAUUCAGUGCCGCAGCUAACGCAUUAAGCACUCCGCCUGGGGAGUACGACCGCAAGGUUGAAAC
rnacentral:rRNA from 1 species